AUGACCUGGGCUCUUCUCCUGCUCAGCCUCCUCAGUCAGGGCCCAGGAAGUCUGGCCCAGUCUGCUCUGACUCAGCCUCCCUCAGUGUCUGGGAAUCCAGGACAGACAGUCACCAUCUCCUGUACUGGGACCAGCAAUGACAUUGGGGACUCAGAUGGUGUCUCCUGGUACCAGCAACGGCCAGGAACAGCUCCUAAACUUUUGAUUUAUGAUACAACUUCUCGGCCCUCAGACAUCCCUGAUCGCUUCUCUGGCUCCAAGUCUGGCAACACAGCGACCCUGACCAUCUCUGGGCUCAAGCCUGAGGACGAAUCUGAUUAUUACUGUUGCUCAUAUACAAGAAGUAGCACUUUCCACAGUGGCUGCUCUACACAGGGAAGUGAGGUUCUCAACCUCCGCAGUUUGCUACACUUCUGA